AUUGAACGCUGGCGGCAGGCUUAACACAUGCAAGUCGAGCGGAGCGAGGGUGCUUGCACCUUAGCUUAGCGGCGGACGGGUGAGUAAUGCUUAGGAAUCUGCCUAUUAGUGGGGGACAACAUUCCGAAAGGGAUGCUAAUACCGCAUACGCCCUACGGGGGAAAGCAGGGGAUCUUCGGACCUUGCGCUAAUAGAUGAGCCUAAGUCGGAUUAGCUAGUUGGUGGGGUAAAGGCCUACCAAGGCGACGAUCUGUAGCGGGUCUGAGAGGAUGGUCCGCCACACUGGGACUGAGACAGGGACCAGACUCCUGCGGGAGGAAGCAGUGGGGAAUAUUGGACAAUGGGCGGAAGCCUGAUCCAGCCAUGCCGCGUGUGUGAAGAAGGCUUUUUGGUUGUAAAGCACUUUAAGCGAGGAGGAGGCUACUAGUAUUAAUACUACUGGAUAGUGGACGUUACUCGCAGAAUAAGCACCGGCUAACUCUGUGCCAGCAGCCGCCGCAGUAA
rnacentral:rRNA from 1 species